rnacentral:rRNA from 1 species
CGGAGGAUCCGAGCGUUAUCCGGAUUUAUUGGGUUUAAAGGGAGCGUAGGUGGAUUGUUAAGUCAGUUGUGAAAGUUUGCGGCUCAACCGUAAAUUGCAGUUGAAACUGGCAGUCUUGAGUACAGUAGAGGUGGGCGGAAUUCGUGGUGUAGCGGUGAAAUGCUUAGAUAUCACGAAGAACUCCGAUUGCGAAGGCAGCUCACUAGACUGCAACUGACACUGAUGCUCGAAAGUGUGGGUAUCAAACAGGAUU